UACGGAGGGGGCUAGCGUUGUUCGGAAUUACUGGGCGUAAAGCGCGUGUAGGCGGUCCGGUAAGUCCGCUGUGAAAGUCGGGGGCUCAACCCUCGAAUGCCGGUGGAUACUGUCGGGCUAGAGUGCGGAAGAGGCGAGUGGAAUUCCUGGUGUAGCGGUGAAAUGCGCAGAUAUCAGGAGGAACACCAAUUGCGAAGGCAGCUCGCUGGGACGUUACUGACGCUGAGACGCGAAAGCGUGGGGAGCAAACAGG
rnacentral:rRNA from 1 species